rnacentral:rRNA from 1 species
GAAGAGAGGAGCUUGCUCUUCUUGGAUGAGUUGCGAACGGGUGAGUAACGCGUAGGUAACCUGCCUUGUAGCGGGGGAUAACUAUUGGAAACGAUAGCUAAUACCGCAUAACAAUGGAUGACACAUGUCAUUUAUUUGAAAGGGGCAAUUGCUCCACUACAAGAUGGACCUGCGUUGUAUUAGCUAGUAGGUGAGGUAAUGGCUCACCUAGGCGACGAUACAUAGCCGACCUGAGAGGGUGAUCGGCCACACUGGGACUGAGACACGGCCCAGACUCCUACGGGAGGCAGCAGUAGGGAAUCUUCGGCAAUGGGGGCAACCCUGACCGAGCAACGCCGCGUGAGUGAAGAAGGUUUUCGGAUCGUAAAGCUCUGUUGUAAGUCAAGAACGGGUGUGAGAGUGGAAAGUUCACACUGUGACGGUAGCUUACCAGAAAGGGACGGCUAACUACGUGCCAGCAGCCGCGGUAAUACGUAGGUCCCGAGCGUUGUCCGGAUUUAUUGGGCGUAAAGCGAGCGCAGGCGGUUUGAUAAGUCUGAAGUUAAAGGCUGUGGCUCAACCAUAGUUCGCUUUGGAAACUGUCAAACUUGAGUGCAGAAGGGGAGAGUGGAAUUCCAUGUGUAGCGGUGAAAUGCGUAGAUAUAUGGAGGAACACCGGUGGCGAAAGCGGCUCUCUGGUCUGUAACUGACGCUGAGGCUCGAAAGCGUGGGGAGCGAACAGGAUUAGAUACCCUGGUAGUCCACGCCGUAAACGAUGAGUGCUAGGUGUUGGAUCCUUUCCGGGAUUCAGUGCCGCAGCUAACGCAUUAAGCACUCCGCCUGGGGAGUACGACCGCAAGGUUGAAACUCAAAGGAAUUGACGGGGGCCCGCACAAGCGGUGGAGCAUGUGGUUUAAUUCGAAGCAACGCGAAGAACCUUACCAGGUCUUGACAUCCCGAUGCUAUUUCUAGAGAUAGAAAGUUACUUCGGUACAUCGGUGACAGGUGGUGCAUGGUUGUCGUCAGCUCGUGUCGUGAGAUGUUGGGUUAAGUCCCGCAACGAGCGCAACCCCUAUUGUUAGUUGCCAUCAUUCAGUUGGGCACUCUAGCGAGACUGCCGGUAAUAAACCGGAGGAAGGUGGGGAUGACGUCAAAUCAUCAUGCCCCUUAUGACCUGGGCUACACACGUGCUACAAUGGUUGGUACAACGAGUUGCGAGUCGGUGACGGCGAGCUAAUCUCUUAAAGCCAAUCUCAGUUCGGAUUGUAGGCUGCAACUCGCCUACAUGAAGUCGGAAUCGCUAGUAAUCGCGGAUCAGCACGCCGCGGUGAAUACGUUCCCGGGCCUUGUACACACCGCCCGUCACACCACGAGAGUUUG